GACGAACGCUGGCGGCGUGCCUAAUACAUGCAAGUAGAACGCUGAAGGAGGAGCUUGCUUCUCUGGAUGAGUUGCGAACGGGUGAGUAACGCGUAGGUAACCUGCCUGGUAGCGGGGGAUAACUAUUGGAAACGUUAGCUAAUACCGCAUAAGAGUAGAUGUUGCAUGACAUUUGCUUAAAAGGUGCAAUUGCAUCACUACCAGAUGGACCUGCGUUGUAUUAGCUAGUUGGUGGGGUAACGGCUCACCAAGGCGACGAUACAUAGCCGACCUGAGAGGGUGAUCGGCCACACUGGGACUGAGGCACGGGCCAGACUCCUACGGGAGGCAGCAGUAGGGAAUCUUCGGCAAUGGACGGAAGGCUGACCGAGCAACGCCGCGUGAGUGAAGAAGGUUUUCGGAUCGUAAAGCUCUGUUGUAAGAGAAGAACGAGUGUGAGAGUGGAAAGUUCACACUGUGACGGUAUCUGACCAGAAAGGGACGGCUAACUACGUG
rnacentral:rRNA from 1 species